rnacentral:lncRNA from 1 species
UCACUAUAUAUACAUACACAUCAAUCCAUAAUCUCCUCUUACGUUGAAAACAAAAACCUAAGAGAAACGAAAACUGAAACUAAAAUCUCUUACAUUGACAAAUACACAAGAGAAUGGAGAGAACAGCAUCAAACCUUGUUUUCCUAACUGCGUGGGAUGAAGAAGAGAACCCGAAAACUAAAUCGACCGGUUUGAAGGAAACAGGGUCUGGUUCUCACUCAAUGUGCUUCUCUUCUGAAGAAACCGAAUACAAACGAAGCCGUCGGAUAUAUCUUGAGAGCUUCAAGCUACGCAAACCAGAGCGUCGUCAAGGUGUUAUAUACAAGAUCAAUAAGUUGUUUUCCAACUUCAGAAGUAAGUUUCCUUAGCUUAGUUUUAAUCUUUUCCUUAGCUUAGUUUGAAUCUCAUCUUCUUUUUUUUUUAUACGAUGUAAAGACAAAUCUUCUUUUUUGAUACGAUUUUAAGACAAUUCUUCUUUCUCAAGUUAUGGUAUACACAUCAAUAGGUUCAAACUUCAAACCAAAAAAACAUUUAUAUAAUAUAUGGUAUACAAUUCGAAUCAGAAAUAUACAUCCAUCAUUAUGAAAACUGAAAAAAUUACAAAACAUCAAGAAACAAGAUCGACCACUAAAAGCCUGAAACACAUUGCCUCUCCAUGGUAAGAUCGAAACCAAGCAAAACCAAACUGGAAAUCAAGAUCAGCAAAAACCAACACAUUCCAUAGCUACAUUAUGCACUGUACAAUCUAACAAAGAGAUUACUCAGCUUUUUUUAUAGUCACUCUUUUGAAGUUGAGUCUGUAUGACAUGAA